UUACCAACUUUUUAUUCUGUGAAAAUGGUGUCCCAGAGAAGGUGAGAAAUAGAUUUACCCUUGACAGCUCAUUAAACAGGUACUGGAAAAACCAUAAGAUGAAGAGAGUUAUGGUAAAUGAAUAACUACCACUAUUCAGGCACUGCCAAUCCCAAUAUCUCAGUGCCCUAAAUUGAGAAGACAAAGAAGGUGUAAAUUUUGGAUGUGAGUUUGGAGUUUAUCUUUGGACUGAAAAAAAGUUGUGUAUUACUUCAGAUUGACCAGAAAGCUGUGGGAUCUACCCAAGAGCACAUCAAGAGGUAGAAAAGGGAAAGCUAGAGAAAAAAAUUGUAAUGGAUUGAUUAAUACAUGGCAUCAUCUUGCCCAUAAAUUCUGAGAAAAUUUUGUGCUGUUUACCCACAAUUAAAGAUAGCUUUAAUGCUAUAUUCAGUAUCAGUUUGAAUUUCCAAAAACCACAAGAUGAGUGAAGUUAGACCAGAAU
rnacentral:lncRNA from 1 species